CUUGGAUUCCCCUCCAGACCUGUUUACCCUGUCCCAACCCAGCUCACUCCAACCUCAGCCUCCAUAACUGGUUUCCUACAACUCAUCCAAGCUUCGCUGGAUCUGCACUUCAUCUCUAAGCAUUAAGAAGGAAAGAAAUUCAACAGAUUAACCUUAAACAAGGCACACUUGUUAAUUGAAAUUCCAGGAGGACGUGCAGGGAUGAGACCCAUGGACCACAGUGUGCUGAAAUGUAUCUUCUCCCUAUUCUUGCUAACAGUAUCUGCAUCAGGCACGCUAUCCAACGCAGCAGUUACUACUAUCCAACCACUAUCAAAUACAGCCAGUGCAUCCCAACCAGCCAACACAGCCACUUCAUCCAGUGCAACCACACCAUCCUGUUUGACCCGUCGAUGUCUGGCCAGCAUGCUGAUUGCGAAAGAAGCUCGGAGUCCGCCACAGUCUCCACGGUGCAUCUCAAUUAUCCGUGUGCCGUCAAUCGUGUACGAAACUCUGUCUGUCG
ensembl:lncRNA